GGGGAGAAAUACUCGAUGUAUGGAUAGAUGUUCCUGGAGGAGCGAAUACAUUUCAAUGCGAUUUCCAUAGUACGCAGACACGAAUAUCCGAUUUACAACUAGCAUGGGGGUUGAGGAUUCUGUAUCUUUAUGAAACAUGGGCACGAUUCAUUGGCCAAUUCUUCCUUAUUUAAUCGCCAGAACAAAUGGAAAUAAAUAGUGAGGCGCAGACGGAUCUAGAGCGUCCCGUGAAAACCACCUUCGGAACAUCUCUCUGGGGCUACCGGCGUUCAAGUAGAAAUAUUUCCAGCGAAAGUUCUGUAAUGUUCCAAAGCAAGAAAAAGAGUGGAAUGGAUCAAAAUCGAGAAA
rnacentral:sRNA from 2 species